UACGAAGGGGGCUAGCGUUGUUCGGAAUUACUGGGCGUAAAGCGCACGUAGGCGGAUAUUUAAGUCAGGGGUGAAAUCCCAGAGCUCAACUCUGGAACUGCCUUUGAUACUGGGUAUCUUGAGUAUGGAAGAGGUAAGUGGAAUUGCGAGUGUAGAGGUGAAAUUCGUAGAUAUUCGCAGGAACACCAGUGGCGAAGGCGGCUUACUGGUCCAUUACUGACGCUGAGGUGCGAAAGCGUGGGGAGCAAACAGGGAUUAAGAAACCCCGUGUAACGUC
rnacentral:rRNA from 1 species